AGCGGAAAAUUGAAAAUAUGAUUAUAAAGCGCUGGUUUGAAUACUACAAGCUUCAUUCAAAGAUAAUACUAAUACAAUUAAUUAGUAAAAUGUUUGAAUAAACAACACAAAAUCUUCGCAUCGACACGAUGCGUCGUUAGUCAUGCAAAACGGAUACAUUUUCAAAAUGAAACUAAACCAAACAGAGUGUUCUCAAAGGACUCUAUAUAGAUAUAAAACCCCUUUUUCCCGUGUCUCAAUCAGAGCAGAGCUUCACCAUUUCACUCGGACGAGGCUAACACCUAACCUGUCAACCU
rnacentral:lncRNA from 1 species